AAAUGUGCUGCGUCCACGUCCACCUGCAGAGUUGGUUGCUGUAGACCCACGAUGGGUGCCCAGGCUGAGCGAGGCAGGUCUGCUCACUGUGGCUCGUCUUGCUGAGAGUGCUUUGGUGAAGCUAGACAGGUCUCUACUUUCAGCUCUCGUUGACAGAUGGAGACCUGAGACACACGUUCCACCUCCCUUGUGGGGAGAUGGCACCGACCCUGCAGGAUGUUGCGAUGCUGCUUAGUCUUUCUAUCACCGAAGACGCUGUCGGGCCCCGUGUGGUACCUUCUACGUGGCUGGAGGAUCUUGAGAAACGUUUUGCAGGUGUUGCCACCACGAUUGAUCCUGAAGAUUUCAAUGAGCACCCACAGUCGAAAGGCCCCUCCAAGUCAUGGCUCCUACAGUUUCAGCCGGAUCUGUUGGCAGCCGAUGCUGAUGAGUACGGCGUGACUAGAUCACUCGAGGCAUACCUGCUGUGGUUGUUUGGGUACAUCAUGGUCAACAACUCACAUGGCCACUGUGUGGAUAAGGUGCUUCUGCCCUACGCACAGGAGAUCGCCGAUGCAGAUGAGGAUGCCAUACCCUUAUAUAGUUGGGGUUCAGCGGUUCUUGCAUGCACAUAUCAUGGACUCUACAAGGCAUCACGACAGAAUGAUAGGAAUGCUGUCCCAACGGGGUGCCCAAUUCUGCUACAGCUUUGGUCUUACGAGAUGAUUGCUAUCGAUCGUCCCAUGAUUGACCAGUCACCGUACACACCAGAUAUGUACGGUGACACGGAUGACGACAGACCUACCAUGGGGACUCUCUGGUACUCUCGACAGAAAACAUGGGCACAUGUACAGACCCGGCGGUCUUAUCCUGAGUUUGUUGCCGAAUUUGAUCGAUUGACCCCAGAAGACAUUGUGUGGGAGCCAUAUAGUCCUUCGGCUAUAGCCGCACGUGCACCGCUUGGGAUAUCUUCGGUGUGCACACAGGACCAGGGCCUAUGGAUGACUACUGCAGCUUUAGUGUACGACGUUGCAGUUGAGGCCCACUGCCCGGAUAGAGUCAUGAGGCAGUUCGGUCGACGCUAGUCUUUCCCUGUGUCUUCAGCGUUGGAUCGUGUUCAGCGCCACGAUCAUAGGUACCAAAAAUGUAUGAGCACCCAUGUACUAAUAACGUGAAACUAAUUUCUAUUUAACGUGCAGUUUAUCAAGGGCUGGACAUCCUUUCUCGACAAUGUGGGUCACUAGAUUACAACCAUGGGUGGCUGCGUGGGAUGAUGCAGGCGAGCAGUUGGCUGAGGAUACCGGUCCACACACUGAGCCUUCGUUUCGGGCGUACCUGACCUGGUACGAACCGAAGACUCGUUGCCGUUUGACGUAUGUUGACUUGCAUCCACAGCCGCAUGUUGCGACUUCGCAGGAUCGGUAUGCACGAUACAGGGAUUAGGCAUUAGCUGGGGCGGUGAGUAAAUGUUGACGGCAUUUUCGAUCUUUUAAGAUUUGUAUACUAAAUUAUUUUGGUUGCAGUUCAAGACCUGUAGGUUGCUUGAAUUAGAUUGCUCACUGAAUGUAAUGAGGAUUCAUGGCGGGUCUACGAUGAGCAUGCCGGCACAACUCGAGGCCUGGACCACUCAACGUGAUAGAGCCCGAGGCAUCCUUCAGGCCUUUGGUACGCGGACGGAGUACGAGGAUUCCUACGGAUUGUCGCAAGUGUCGACGUCAGUUCCUUGUGGUCCCGCAUGGCAGCAGCCUCCCUUAUACCACCGACAGUACGAAGGGUACGGGUACCCCGGUUCUCAGCCCUAUGGAGGGCCAGGUGCCUCGCAAGGGGCUCCAUUUCAAGGAACCCAGAUUAGCUCUAUGCCACAUGCUGGAGGGACUUUAGGAUCACAACAGUUCACCGGAGCGGGGCCGUCUUCCUAUCACCAUAUGCCGCCACUAGGAGGAUAUGAAGGAGCUUCUUCCUAUCCACCACCACCACCACCUCCAACACAGGGGUGGUCUGAAGACAACGACGCGACCUCCUUGGAGGACUUUACACGGUUGUUUCCUACGCCUGCCCAGGACGAUGAUCCCAGCUUGCAUACACCUGUGUCUCUGUUACGCCGUCCUGCCAGAGACGUGAGGCCACCGGAACGUCAUAGCUACCCUACAGAUCACGUACACGCACAACGUAAGAGAGGUCGGAAUGGUAGGGGUGGUUAGUUGUUGACACUUGUUUCUCUAUUGUUAUUAUGGACUGUUUCGACUGUUUGGAUUAUUGUUGUUUAUGAUUGUGGUAGUUUACUUGUCAUUUGUUUCUAUAGAUAUUAUUGAUGUGAACUUGUUAUGUUUGUGGGUUCCAUAAUGCUCGUGAAAUAAGGGAAGUUUUUGCGAA